GACGAACGCUGGCGGCGUGCUUAACACAUGCAAGUCGAACGGCAAGGCCCUGCUUUUGUGGGGUGCUCGAGUGGCGAACGGGUGAGUAGCACGUGAGUAACCUGCCCUUGACUUUGGGAUAACUUCAGGAAACUGGGGCUAAUACCGGAUAGGAGCUCCUGCUGCAUGGUGGGGGUUGGAAAGUUUCGGCGGUUGGGGAUGGACUCGCGGCUUAUCAGCUUGUUGGUGGGGUAGUGGCUUACCAAGGCUUUGACGGGUAGCCGGCCUGAGAGGGUGACCGGCCACAUUGGGACUGAGAUACGGCGCAGACUGCUACGGGAGGCAGCAGUGGGGAAUAUUGCACAAUGGGCGGAAGCCUGAUGCAGCAACGCCGCGUGCGGGAUGACGGCCUUCGGGUUGUAAACCGCUUUCGCCUGUGACGAAGCGUGAGUGACGGUAAUGGGUAAAGAAGCACCGGCUAACUACGUG
rnacentral:rRNA from 1 species